CUCUCUCUCUCUCUCUCUCUCUCUCUCUCUCUCUCUCUCUCUCUCUCUGCCCCCCCCCCCCCCCCCCCCCCCACCAUAUAGCAGGGCAGCCGCAGAGGACACGAACUAGAUCGUCGUACCUCCUGCUUGAUUGGAUCCAGCAUUUUGGUAGUCGCGUGCUUGGUUCUCCUUUGAGCCUGUGGCGUGGCUACGCGACCCCUCUGUCUGCCUAUCAGCCAGCUUCCAUGGAUUCCACCCUCUUCAUCAUCGGAAUCAUAGGCAACAUCAUCUCAGUUCUAGUCUUCAUAUCUCCUAUCAAGACCUUCUGGAGGAUCGUGAGGAGCGGGUCGACGGAGGACUUCGAGCCGGCGCCGUACGUGUUCACGCUGCUCAACGCGCUGCUGUGGCUCUACUACGGCCUCACCAAGCCCGACGGCCUCCUCGUCGCCACCGUCAACGGCUUUGGGGCCGUCAUGGAGGCCAUCUACGUCGUCCUCUUCGUCGUCUACGCCGCCGAUCACGCCACAAGGAUUAAGGCUGCAAAGCUGGCGACAGCGUUGGACAUUGGUGGCUUUGGAGUUGUGUUUGCAGCCACCACAUUCGCCAUCCGUGAAUUGGACUUGAGAAUCAUGGUGAUCGGAAUGAUAUGUGCCUGCCUCAAUGUGCUCAUGUACGGCUCUCCCCUUGCUGCCAUGAAAACGGUGAUCACCACCAAGAGCGUGGAGUUCAUGCCCUUCUUCCUCUCCUUCUUCCUCUUCCUCAACGGAGGCAUCUGGGCAACGUACGCCGUGCUUGACCGAGACAUCUUUCUCGGGAUCCCCAAUGGGAUAGGCUUCGUCCUUGGCAGCAUCCAGCUGAUCAUCUACGCGAUCUACAUGAACAGCAAGGCCUCCCAGAGCAGCAAAGAAACAGCGGAAGAUGCGGCUCCUCUUCUAGCCUCAAACGCUUGAUACAGGCAGGAGAAGCAUCUAGCCAUGUUUGAUGCGCGGCGUGCUGGAGUAGAAGCUGGUCUUAAAAACUGUCAAACUUCACAAGUGUGCCUACCACUAUCCUAGUGAUUAGUGAUUAUUCAUUGUUCAUUAAGCGUGUAAAGUUUCUUUGGUGAAUGCUAUUUUUCUUUGUAAGCUUCGAUGAUGCCCCCAUUGGUCCAAUUACAUUUUACUAUUGUCGAUUCUUAGCAGAGAAAAUUCGUCAUAGAAGGGCAAUAAUGUCCAUGAAGAAA